rnacentral:rRNA from 1 species
GAUUUCUGGUUUGAUUUACCUGUCCCGCCACGGUAACGUGUGUGAGUGACGGUGUGAAUCGGCCAUCCUUCUAGAUUCUUCUUCCAGGUGCAAACUUGGGAGUUCAGGUCUAGAUCAAUUACUUUGAAUAAAUUAGAGUGUUUAAAGCAGGCUUAUGCUAUGAAUACAUUAGCAUGGAAUAAUAAUUUAGGACUUUGGUUCUAUUUUGUUGGUUUCUAGGACUGAAGUAAUGAUUGAUAGGGAUAGUUGGGGGUGCUAGUAUUCCGCGGCCAGAGGUGAAAUUCUUGGAUUCGUGGAAGACUAACUACUGCGAAAGCAUU